rnacentral:lncRNA from 1 species
UGAACACAUUCAUAACAUACUUUUAUUUAAUAAAAUCUUCUGUUUGUAUGGUUUCAUCCUCUAGAGUUGUGUAAUGUGUGUCCAAAAUUAGGGAAACCCCUGUUCUGAGAGUUCCUCCAAUGUCCGGUUAUUUCGCGCAUGCCUUCCAAAAAUAGCUUAUUUUGAAUAAAGGAAAGGUUUUAUUCUACGAAAUAUUGCUGAGUUUGAACCCAACACACCGCCAA